rnacentral:rRNA from 1 species
GCGUAAUCAUUUGUCUUUUAAAUAGAGACCUGUAUGAAUGGCAUAACGAGGGUUUAACUGUCUCCUUCCCCUAGUCAAUGAAAUUGAUCUGCCCGUGCAGAAGCGGACAUAAAUACAUAAGACGAGAAGACCCUAUGGAGCUUUAGACAAAAGAUCAAACAUGUAAAGAAACCAAGUUAACCAAAAGGAACACAAAGGCCACGAAACCCGACGUAAACUGAUCCAAAUGUCUUCGGUUGGGGCGACCAUGGGGGAGAAAAAAGCCCCCACGAGGAACAGGGACUAAUCCCUAAGCCAAGAGAGACAUCUCUAAGCAACAGAAAAUCUGACCAAAAGUGACCCAGAAUACUAAUUCUGAUCAACGAACCAAGUUACCCUAGGGAUAACAGCGCAAUCCUUUCCCAGAGUCCAUAUCGACGAAAGGGUUUACGACCUCGAUGUUGGAUCAGGACAUCCUAAUGGUGCAGCCGCUAUUAAGGGUUCGUUUGUUCAACGAUUAAUAGUCCUAC